UAUUUGGCUAUGAAGGGGAAAAGUAAGCCGGUACGAUCGUUCAGAGAGGGAGAGCCAUAGGCUGUAAGCUCUUCCCGGUACAGCAGGCUGAAAGACCACCCCGGAGCUGUUUGCUGAAAAUCAAGUAAGCAAACCGGAUGACACCGUUAUCGUCCUUGAAGGUGGGAGAAUUGGAUUUUCUCCAACCAGGGUGGAACCGCGGAUAUGAACCCGUCCCUGUA
rnacentral:ncRNA from 1 species